CUGGGCUCAACCCAGUAGGGCAAAAGAUACUGCAAAGCUAGAGUAUGACAGAGGCAAGUGGAACUACAUGUGUAGCGGUAAAAUGCGUAAAUAUAUGUAAGAACACCAGUGGCGAAGGCGGCUUGCUGGGUCGAUACUGACAUUGAGGCACGAAAGCGUGGGGAGCAAACAGGAUUAGAUACCCUGGUAGUCCACGCCCUAAACGAUGAGUACUAAGUGUUGGUGAGAAUCAGUGCUGAAGUUAACGCAUUAAGUACUCCGCCUGAGUAGUACGUACGCAAGUAUGAAACUUAAAGGAAUUGACGGGAGCCCGCACAAGCGGUGGAGCAUGUUGUUUAAUUCGACGAUACGCGAAGAACCUUACCAGGUCUUGACAUAGCACGCGAAGGCGUAGAGAUACGUUGGAGGAUAGCGUGCAUACAGGUGGUGCAUGGUUGUCGUCAGCUCGUGUCGUGAGAUGUUGGGUUAAGUCCCGCAACGAGCGCAACCCUUAUUUCUAGUUACCAGCAGUAAGAUGGGGACUCUAGAGAGACUGCCAUUGAUAAAAUGGAGGAAGGUGGGGAUGACGUCAAAUCAUCAUGCCCUAUAUGGCCUGGGCUACAAACGUGCUACAAUGGCCAGUACAAAGAGACGCGAUACCGUGAGGUGGAGCAAAACUUAAAAGCUGGUCCCAGUUCGGAUUGGAGUCUGCAACUCGACUCCAUGAAGUUGGAAUCGCUAGUAAUCCUGAAUCAGAAUGUCAGGGUGAAUACGUUCCCGGGUGUUGUACACACCGCCCGUCACGCUAUGGGAGUCUGUAAUACCCGAAGUUGGUAGCCUAACCAUUAGGAGGGGGCCAACGAAGGUAGGAUAGGUGACUGGAGUGAAGUCGUAACAAGGUAACCGUAA
rnacentral:rRNA from 1 species